rnacentral:rRNA from 1 species
CAGCAGCCGCGGGAAAACGUAGGGUGCAAGCGUUAAUCGGAAUUACUGGGCGUAAAGCGUGCGCAGGCGGUUAUAUAAGACAGAUGUGAAAUCCCCCGGCUCAACCUGGGAACUGCAUUUGUGACUGUAUAGCUAGAGUACGGCAGAGGGGGAUGGAAUUCCGCGUGUAGCAGUGAAAUGCGUAGAUAUGCGGAGGAACACCGAUGGCGAAAGCAAUCUCCUGGGCCUAUACUGACGCUGAUGCACGAAAGCUUGGGGAGCAAACAGGAUUAGAUACCCGCGUAGUCCCUGUCUCUUAUAC